AGGACGAACGCUGGCGGCGUGCUUAACACAUGCAAGUCAAGGGGGCCCAGCAAUGGGCAACCGGCGAACGGGUGCGUAACACGUGAGCAACCUACCGAACUGUGGGGGAUAGCCGGCCUAACGGCCGAGUAAUACCGCAUACGCUCUCAGGGAGGCAUUUCUUUGAGAGGAAACCUACGGGACAGAUCGAGGGGCUCGCGGCCUAUCAGCUAGUUGGCGAGGUAACGGCUCACCAAGGCAACGACGGGUAGCUGGUCUGAGAGGAUGGCCAGCCACAUUGGGACUGAGAUACGGCCCAGACUCCUACGGGAGGCAGCAGUCGGGAAUUUGCGCAAUGGACGAAAGUCUGACGCAGCAACGCCGCGUGAGGGAUGACGGCCUUCGGGUUGUAAACCUCUUUGUCGAGGAAGAUAAUGACGGUACCUGGACGAAUAAGCCACGGCUAACUACGUGCCAGCACGCCGAC
rnacentral:rRNA from 1 species